GGUUAAGCGACUAAGCGUACACGGUGGAUGCCCUGGCAGUCAGAGGCGAUGAAGGGCGUGCUAAUCUGCGAUAAGCGCCGGUAAGGUGAUAUGAACCGUUAUAACCGGCGAUACCCGAAUGGGGAAACCCAGUGUGACUCGUCACACUAUCAUUAACUGAAUCCAUAGGUUAAUGAGGCGAACCGGGGGAACUGAAACAUCUAAGUACCCCGAGGAAAAGAAAUCAACCGAGAUUCCCCCAGUAGCGGCGAGCGAACGGGGAGGAGCCCAGAGCCUGAAUCAGCAUGUGUGUUAGUGGAAGCGUCUGGAAAGGCGCGCGAUACAGGGUGACAGCCCCGUACACAAAAGCGCAUGUGCUGUGAGCUCGAUGAGUAGGGCGGGACACGUGGUAUCCUGUCUGAAUAUGGGGGGACCAUCCUCCAAGGCUAAAUACUCCUGACUGACCGAUAGUGAACCAGUACCGUGAGGGAAAGGCGAAAAGAACCCCGGCGAGGGGAGUGAAAAAGAACCUGAAACCGUGUACGUACAAGCAGUGGGAGCACAGGUUUACCUGUGUGACUGCGUACCUUUUGUAUAAUGGGUCAGCGACUUAUAUUCUGUAGCAAGGUUAACCGAAUAGGGGAGCCGGAGGGAAACCGAGUCUUAAUUGGGCGUUAAGUUGCAGGGUAUAGACCCGAAACCCGGUGAUCUAGCCAUGGGCAGGUUGAAGGUUGGGUAACACUAACUGGAGGACCGAACCGACUAAUGUUGAAAAAUUAGCGGAUGACCUGUGGCUGGGGGUGAAAGGCCAAUCAAACCGGGAGAUAGCUGGUUCUCCCCGAAAGCUAUUUAGGUAGCGCCUCGUGAAUUCAUCUCCGGGGGUAGAGCACUGUUUCGGCUAGGGGGCCAUCCCGGCUUACCAACCCGAUGCAAACUGCGAAUACCGGAGAAUGUUAUCACGGGAGACACACGGCGGGUGCUAACGUCCGUCGUGAAGAGGGAAACAACCCAGACCGCCAGCUAAGGUCCCAAAGUCAUGGUUAAGUGGGAAACGAUGUGGGAAGGCCCAGACAGCCAGGAUGUUGGCUUAGAAGCAGCCAUCAUUUAAAGAAAGCGUAAUAGCUCACUGGUCGAGUCGGCCUGCGCGGAAGAUGUAACGGGGCUAAACCAUGCACCGAAGCUGCGGCAGCGACACUGUGUGUUGUUGGGUAGGGGAGCGUUCUGUAAGCCUGCGAAGGUGGCCUGUGAGGGUUGCUGGAGGUAUCAGAAGUGCGAAUGCUGACAUAAGUAACGAUAAAGCGGGUGAAAAGCCCGCUCGCCGGAAGACCAAGGGUUCCUGUCCAACGUUAAUCGGGGCAGGGUGAGUCGACCCCUAAGGCGAGGCCGAAAGGCGUAGUCGAUGGGAAACGGGUUAAUAUUCCCGUACUUGGUGUUACUGCGAAGGGGGGACGGAGAAGGCUAUGUUGGCCGGGCGACGGUUGUCCCGGUUUAAGCGUGUAGGUGUGUGUUCCAGGUAAAUCCGGUUCACUUUAACACUGAGGCGUGACGACGAGGCACUACGGUGCUGAAGCAACAAAUGCCCUGCUUCCAGGAAAAGCCUCUAAGCAUCAGGUAACAUCAAAUCGUACCCCAAACCGACACAGGUGGUCAGGUAGAGAAUACCAAGGCGCUUGAGAGAACUCGGGUGAAGGAACUAGGCAAAAUGGUGCCGUAACUUCGGGAGAAGGCACGCUGACACGUAGGUGAAGUGAUUUACUCAUGGAGCUGAAGUCAGUCGAAGAUACCAGCUGGCUGCAACUGUUUAUUAAAAACACAGCACUGUGCAAACACGAAAGUGGACGUAUACGGUGUGACGCCUGCCCGGUGCCGGAAGGUUAAUUGAUGGGGUCAGCGCAAGCGAAGCUCCUGAUCGAAGCCCCGGUAAACGGCGGCCGUAACUAUAACGGUCCUAAGGUAGCGAAAUUCCUUGUCGGGUAAGUUCCGACCUGCACGAAUGGCGUAAUGAUGGCCAGGCUGUCUCCACCCGAGACUCAGUGAAAUUGAACUCGCUGUGAAGAUGCAGUGUACCCGCGGCAAGACGGAAAGACCCCGUGAACCUUUACUAUAGCUUGACACUGAACAUUGAGCCUUGAUGUGUAGGAUAGGUGGGAGGCUUUGAAGUGUGGACGCCAGUCUGCAUGGAGCCGACCUUGAAAUACCACCCUUUAAUGUUUGAUGUUCUAACGUGGACCCGUUACCCGGGUUGCGGACAGUGUCUGGUGGGUAGUUUGACUGGGGCGGUCUCCUCCUAAAGAGUAACGGAGGAGCACGAAGGUUGGCUAAUCCUGGUCGGACAUCAGGAGGUUAGUGCAAUGGCAUAAGCCAGCUUGACUGCGAGCGUGACGGCGCGAGCAGGUGCGAAAGCAGGUCAUAGUGAUCCGGUGGUUCUGAAUGGAAGGGCCAUCGCUCAACGGAUAAAAGGUACUCCGGGGAUAACAGGCUGAUACCGCCCAAGAGUUCAUAUCGACGGCGGUGUUUGGCACCUCGAUGUCGGCUCAUCACAUCCUGGGGCUGAAGUAGGUCCCAAGGGUAUGGCUGUUCGCCAUUUAAAGUGGUACGCGAGCUGGGUUUAGAACGUCGUGAGACAGUUCGGUCCCUAUCUGCCGUGGGCGCUGGAGAACUGAGGGGGGCUGCUCCUAGUACGAGAGGACCGGAGUGGACGCAUCACUGGUGUUCGGGUUGUCAUGCCAAUGGCACUGCCCGGUAGCUAAAUGCGGAAGAGAUAAGUGCUGAAAGCAUCUAAGCACGAAACUUGCCCCGAG
rnacentral:rRNA from 1 species